UGGGGAAUAUUGCGCAAUGGGGGGAACCCUGACGCAACCAUGCCGCGUGAAUGAAGAAGGCCUUCGGGUUGUAAAGUUCUUUCGGUAUUGAGGAAGGUUGAUGUGUUAAUAGCACAUCAAAUUGACGUUAAAUACAGAAGAAGCACCGGCUAACUCCGUGCCAGCAGCCGCGGUAAUACGGAGGGUGCGAGCGUUAAUCGGAAUAACUGGGCGUAAAGGACACGCAGGCGGUUAUUUAAGUGAGGUGUGAAAGCCCCGGGCUUAACCUGGGAAUUGCAUUUCAGACUGGGUAACUAGAGUACUUUAGGGAGGGGUAGAAUUCCACGUGUAGCGGUGAAAUGCGUAGAGAUGUGGAGGAAUACCGAAGGCGAAGGCAGCCCCUUGGGAAUGUACUGACGCUCAUGUGCGAAAGCGUGGGGAGCAAACAGGAUUAGAUACCCUGGUAGUCCACGCUGUAAACGCUGUCGAUUUGGGGGUUGGGGUUUAACUCUGGCGCCCGUAGCUAACGUGAUAAAUCGACCGCCUGGGGAGUACGGCCGCAAGGUUA
rnacentral:rRNA from 1 species